rnacentral:rRNA from 1 species
GUCCACCUCUUCCCAUUCCGAACAGAGAAGUUAAGCCCGCCAGAGCCGAUGGUACUGCAGUAACAUGUGGGAGAGUAGGUCGGCGCCAAAU